rnacentral:tRNA from 1 species
GGGGAUGUAGCUCAGUGGUAGAGUGCUUGCCUAGCAUGCACAAGGCUCUGAGUUCAAUCCCAGUAUCACAA